rnacentral:lncRNA from 1 species
UUUGUUCUCCAUUGUUUCCGAUAUUUCAAGGUGCAUAGACGGAAAAUCGUCGAUCUUUUAAAAACACUUCAUUUUCAAGAACCAAGGAAAACAAAAGGAUUUCGAUUGCCAGAACGAUUUGUUUUCGGCAACGAGCGUGCAUGAUUCAAAGAUUUUACGAAACAAAGAUUUCCAGAACUCAAGAUCAGUAUUGGGUGUUUCAGCAACUUUAGUAGCCCAAGAGAUCAACAUAAUGGCUGAUCCAGCAGCAAGUGACAAAGUUGAAGUCAACCAAGGGUAUGGAAAAGCAUUCAAAACCUUCUUAUUAUAAAUAUUAAAAAUCACAUUCAAAAACCACCAUGUUGCAAAAUAACCCCCAAUUUUCACCCUCUUUGCUGCUUCAAUUUUCUCAACCCCAUCAGAUCUAUCAGCUUCAUACGCCUUACAAACAACCCUCCGAUCAUCAAGUUCAAAUCUUUUUAAUGACCCACAAGAUUGAAUCAAAGAAACAACAUGCAAAGGUUUUGAAUUUGUGACGGCGGAGAUUUUCUUGAUUUUGGGGUUUGAAAGAGGCGGUAAAACCAAGAAUCUUGAUGCGGAAUUGAUACGGUGAUCAGUGAUUUUGGAACUGAGUCCGGUGAUUGUUAAAUGGGGUUGCUUUAGAUUGAAGAUCAUGAUGAAUUUUGACAAAAAGGUUGAGAAUUUGAGUGAAAAGAUUGAAUCUUGAUUGUUGUGGGCUAUUUGGGAUCAAUGUUGUAAUCUGAUAUUUGUGGCAGCUUUUGUUGUAAAAGAAAUUGUGUUUUGAUCAACAAUUUAUAUGAUCAUGAGGAGUCGUUAUGGAAU